GGCUAGAGUACAUGAGGUGAUGUUCCAGUACUUUGAGGACAAAGACAUCCAGAAGGACAAAUCGGGUUUGAUGCAGUGUGUGAUCUGUGUUGCUGAUAGAAUCUUCAAUGUCUUCCUCAAAAUUAUGGCUGAAAAGAAACCACAAACAGUAUUUGCCAAAAUCAUAACUGGAGCUGGACAUCUUUCAAGCUGAAGAUUGAGGCCAGAUUUUGUAUGCUAGCGUACACUCCUUAACAGUUUUACUGGAUGAAAACACAGCAAGAAAACAAAGAUGCAGACUUUGCAGUGCCUCCGUGUGCGACUACCUUGAGCAGCAGUUUGAGGSACUUCGAUGGGAUAAUACCGUGCAGUGAGGCGUAGGGGAUUGUCCGCAGCAGGGCGACCCCCAAUGGAUGGGCGCUGAGGGGUGUGGUGCUCCUCCAGCAGCUCUCUCAUGAGGUUCUCUCUAUACUUUUGGCAAUCCACCUUUCCUGUGGCCGACUUGGUUGCUGUAUGGACAGUGGAGAGGACACUGACGUCUCGUUUGUCAUGCCACUUUACUGCCAGUGGUUGACCGUUCUCCUUGAACUCCAGCCACCCCUCUUCUGCAUCCGAAUGCCGGCAUCCCCUUCCUGUGCUGUUGGAGAGCAGAUGCUGGAAGAGUGUGAGACUGCUGUACAAACUGUCUACAUACAAAGUGUGUCCCUUGCUGAGAUGAGGAGCCAGCAUGGUCAUCACCGUGGACCCGGACACCCCAAGCCCCUCAUAAUGUUGAAUGUCAGUGGUGGACCCUGUAUAGACUAUAAUGUCCUGGACAAAUCCUGUCUUCACGUCACACAUAACAAAGAACUUGACCCCAAACCUGUGCCUUUUGGAGGAAAUAUAUUGACGGAACGCCAGCCUACCCUUCCAUAACAUCAGGGACUUUUCUUAUUUUGUGUGAUGGGUCAUUUAGGUAGGCAGUAGCAUUGGUGACGAAAUGCAGGCAUCGCAGCAGAAAAGAUGGUGGCAAAGAAGGGUGUUGCAAACAUAGGAUCUGUGAUCCAGUAUUCUCUUAGGGAGUUCUUUACUAUCCCCAUGAGAAAGAC